UUGCUUCCUUCGCCAGCACAUAAAUUAAAAUUGGGAAGAUACGGAGAUUAGCAAGGCCCCUCAGAAGGAUGGCAUGCAAAUCUGUAAUGUAUUUUUGUCUGUU